rnacentral:rRNA from 1 species
GACGAACGCGGGCGGCGUGCCUAAUACAUGCAAGUUGAGCGCUGAAGGUUGGUACUUGUACCGACUGGAUGAGCAGCGAACGGGUGAGUAACGCGUGGGGAAUCUGCCUUUGAGCGGGGGACAACAUUUGGAAACGAAUGCUAAUACCGCAUAAAAACUUUAAACACAAGUUUUAAGUUUGAAAGAUGCAAUUGCAUCACCCAAAGAUGAUCCCGCGUUGUAUUAGCUAGUUGGUGAGGUAAAGGCUCACCAAGGCGAUGAUACAUAGCCGACCUGAGAGGGUGAUCGGCCACAUUGGGACUGAGACACGGCCCAAACUCCUACGGGAGGCAGCAGUAGGGAAUCUUCGGCAAUGGACGAAAGUCUGACCGAGCAACGCCGCGUGAGUGAAGAAGGUUUUCGGAUCGUAAAACUCUGUUGGUAGAGAAGAACGUUGGUGAGAGUGGAAAGCUCAUCAAGUGACGGUAACUACCCAGAAAGGGACGGCUAACUACGUG